GUGUCAGCAGCCGCGGUAAUACGUAGGGGGCGAGCGUCGUCCGAAGUUACUGGGCGUAAAGCGCGCGUAGGCGGGUUUUUAAGUCGGAUGUGAAAUCUCCACGGCUCAACCGGGAAACCGCAUCCGAAACUGGAGACCUUGAGGUAUGGAGAGGGAAGUGGAAUUCCUGGUGUAGCGGUGAAAUGCGUAGAUAUCAGGAGGAACACCCGUGGCGAAGGCGGCUUCCUGGCCAUAUCCUGACGCUGAGGUGCGAAAGCCAGGGGAGCGAACGGGAUUAGAAACCCGCGUAGUCC
rnacentral:rRNA from 1 species